AACGAACGCUGGCGGCGUGCCUAACACAUGCAAGUCGUGCGAGAAAGUUCCUUCGGGAGCGAGUAAAGCGGCGCACGGGUGAGUAACACGUAGGUAACCUGCCCCCCAGUCUGGAACAACUAGAGAAACUCUAGCUAAUGCCGGAUGAGACCACGAUCCCUUCGGGGGUUGCGGCCAAAGAUGGCCUCUACUUGUAAGCUAUCGCUGAGGGAUGGGCCUGCGGGCCAUUAGCUUGUUGGUGAGGUAACGGCUCACCAAGGCUGUGAUGGCUAGCUGGUCUGAGAGGAUGACCAGCCACACUGGGACUGAGACACGGCCCAGACUCCUACGGGAGGCAGCAGUGGGAAUAUUGCGCAAUGGGCGAAAGCCUGACGCAGCGACGCCGCGUGGGUGAUGAA
rnacentral:rRNA from 1 species